rnacentral:rRNA from 1 species
AUUGAACGCUGGCGGCAUGCUUUACACAUGCAAGUCGAACGGUAACAGGCCGCAAGGUGCUGACGAGUGGCGAACGGGUGAGUAAUGCAUCGGAACGUGCCCAGUCGUGGGGGAUAACGCAGCGAAAGCUGCGCUAAUACCGCAUACGAUCUAUGGAUGAAAGCGGGGGACCGAAAGGCCUCGCGCGAUUGGAGCGGCCGAUGUCAGAUUAGGUAGUUGGUGGGGUAAAGGCCCACCAAGCCAACGAUCUGUAGCUGGUCUGAGAGGACGACCAGCCACACUGGGACUGAGACGCGGCCCAGACUCCUACGGGAGGCAGCAGUGGGGAAUUUUGGACAAUGGGCGCAAGCCUGAUCCAGCAAUGCCGCGUGCAGGAAGAAGGCCUUCGGGUUGUAAACUGCUUUUGUACGGAACGAAACGGUCCGGGUUAAUACCCUGGGCUAAUGACGGUACCGUAAGAAUAAGCACCGGCUAACUGCGUGCCAGCCGCCGCCGUAAUAC